rnacentral:rRNA from 1 species
UACGUAGGGGGCAAGCGUUAUCCGGAUUUACUGGGUGUAGAGGGGGCGCAGACGGCAGCGCAAGCCAGGAGUGAAAGCCCGGGGCCCAACCCCGGGACUGCUCUUGGAACUGCGCGGCUGGAGUGCAGGAGGGGCAGGCGGAAUUCCUGGUGUAGCGGUGAAAUGCGUAGAUAUCAGGAGGAACACCGGUGGCGAAGGCGGCCUGCUGGACUGCGACUGACGUUGAGGCCCGAAAGCGUGGGGAGCAAACAGG